GAGCCCCGCUGCCAUCUCCCACCUCCUCGCUGUUGGCGUGUCGCUGCUGCCGCCCUCCUUUCUGUCCCAGAUCACGACCUUUCCUGCAUAUCCAUUCAACCCGACUCGAUCCCCCGACUGCACUUUCCGGAGGUUGAGCCGCCCUCCUCGCCGGCACUUUCCACCUACCUUCGUCAACGGCCACCGCACCGUCCUCCCCCGUCUCUCUCCGGCGGUGGUGGAUUGGAGAAGAAGAAGAAAUGGUCGAGGGGGCUGACAUGAGGGAGAUGGAGGAAGGCAUGGCACGAGGGGCGAGGGAAGCAGGGGGAUGGCUGUGGGCAGAAAUAGGGCUCGGGGAGGGAGAGCGGGCAGCUGGAUCUCCGUCGACGACGACAAAGAUGGGUGCCAACUCAUCUUGCGCUUUUUUUUCAGAAAAAAAAAACCUAACUCUUGAAAGCCGAUCGUUGACUAGUGGGCGUGCUCAGAUUAGUGCGCCUUAUUAUUUUUAUUUUUAUACGCAUCAUCUUUUCGGUUAAAGUUCCUCAAGCUGUAGGCACCAUCACCAUGUGCGCGUGGCAGUUCUCCUUGUAUCGACCCGCGGCCCCUUGUAUUUUUUCCCCUUCUUUUUCGGUUCAAGCAUCAUCUUUCCUUCAGCUUAAACUUCUUAAGUCUCACUUCCAUUUGCAGAAACCAGAAUCCAAUCUUUCUUCAAAGUUGACGAGGGGCAGAGUUGAUGGUACAGUACAAUGGCAGUAGUCGGCAAGGGAAGGAUCGGGAUGACGAACGGAUCCCUCCCUCGUUACUCCACCUCCUCUUGCCUUCGUCGUAACAAGCUCCUGGGAAUGCCGGUGUUGCUUGCGUCCUUUGGAUGGAUCUGUGGCUUCUUCUUGAUCACUGCUUCCUUUUACUCUUUGCUGGACCAGAAGCAACACCAGCAGAAGCUUCUCUGUGAUAACGAUGGGUGUUUUCCGAGCAUUACAAUCUAUGCUGCACCGCGGCCAUUCUCUGCAGAUAAACUGGAUUUGGUCAGAGCAAGGCAGGAGCUGGCCGUGCGGUCGUGGCUUGCUCUCUCUCCGGGUGUUGAUGUCGUUCUCUUUGGGCAGCACCCAUCUAUUAUUGCCUUCGCCGGGACUCUUGGUUCCCGAGUUACGGUCGAAUCUGACAUUGAUUUCACGUUCCUGGGGACACCCUUUUUUCACUCCAUGGUCGCAAGAUCUCAAGCUUCUCGUUCUGACAUUUCUAUGAUUAUUGAUUCUGAAACUGUUCUCUUGGCUGACAUCCUUACUACCUUACAUCAUGCUUACAAACUCAACCAUGACUGGUUCCUUUUUUCCAAGUCACUAGACAUUUCACACUUUUCAUUUCAGUUAGUUGACAAUGGGAAGCAGUGGCUACGAAAGGAUGGCAAAAAAAUAAAAUUUGAGAAGUUGCAGGAGUAUCUAGUUCAAAAACAGCAGCAGAGUGAGAGGUUUCUUAUGGCAUGGAACACAGGGGACCUACCUCUGCAUGCUGGGAUUCUUCCUCCUUUCUUAUAUGGGAAAGGUCUUCACAAUGAAUGGCUUGUAAAUGAGGUGUUGUCAUCAGACUUAAGAUUGGUAUUUGAUGCUACCGAGGUUGUAUCCAGUUUCUAUCCUGAAAUGUUGGGUCAGUGGUCUCACAAGUAUCUUCCACAUGCUGGCGGUGUGGCUGAAAGAAAUUGGGAGUAUAGAGGAAACCAUCAUCUUGCUGCACUAUAUGGAACAUUUUUCCUACGACAAAAUAACACUCCUAGUAACCUAAUUAAACUUGUGAAGUGUUUUGGGCAAUAUUAUUUCAUCAAUCAAGCAAAAAAAACUGUCUAUUUUUUACAAGGACCAAACAGACAUGCAUCUUACAGUUUGGAGCCAGUUUCAAGUCGAGAACAGGAAACAUUACAAUUAUCAACAAGAUUCUUGCACUUCUGGAAAGAGAAGAAGUGGAAAACCUGUCUAGAGGAUAUCAAUUCAUUAGACAAAGAGCGCAAAUACUCUCUCUUGACAUCGUACAAGGUUUCUUUUGAAGUGUCUGUACCAUUAUCUAUUACAUUCUCUUUGGAAUCACUCCUCCAAAUGAUUGCAGACGAGGAUAAAUCCGUUGUGCUUGCAGUUGCUGGAGAUAGUUACAGGGACAUGCUUAUGAGUUGGGUCUGCCGUUUACGCCUAUUGGCAGUCCAUAAUUUUAUAGUCUGUGCUCUUGAUUCUGAAAUUUAUCAUUUUUCAGUAUUGCAGGGCUUGCCAGUCUUCAAGGAUCCACUGGCUCCGAGCAAUAUCAGCUUCAAUAAUUGCCACUUUGGCACCGAGUGUUUUCAGAGAGUGACUAAAGUGAAAUCCCGAAUAGUUCUGCAGAUACUAAAAUUGGGAUACAAUGUCCUAAUGAGUGAUGUUGAUGUCUAUUGGUUUGAUAACCCAUUGCCAUUUCUCCUCUCCUUUGGUCCUGCUGCAUUGCUGGCACAGUCAGAUGAAUACAAUGAAACAGGACCCAUAAACUUGCCAAGGCGACUGAACUCUGGUUUUUACUUCGCUCGCUCUGAUUUGACUACAAUUGCUGCAAUGGAGAUGGUGGUGAGGCAUGCAUCUAGUUCAGUCUUAUCGGAGCAGCCAAGCUUCUAUGAUGUUUUAUGUGGGGAAGGUGGUGUGAACCGUGUUGGUGAUGACCAAUGUCGGGAGCCCACUACAAACCUGACUGUGUUUUUCUUGGAUAGGAACUUCUUUCCUAAUGGAGCCUACAAAGGCCUGUGGGAGAAGCCUGAUGUCAGAUCUGCUUGCAUGAAGCUAGGAUGCCUAAUCCUUCAUAACAACUGGAUUAGUGGAAGGAAGAAAAAACUGGAACGCCAAGUGCUUUCUGGCUUGUGGGACUAUGAUCCUAGCUCUAGGUUGUGCCUGCGCAGUUGGCACAGGACCAAAUUUAUGACUAAUUUCUGAAUAUCAGCUGGUAAUGGUCUCAUUUUCUCCCUGAUUAGCAAAGUGUGGGUCCUUCUACAGUAAUUUAUCUGACAGCCAAAAUGAGCAUAAUGGAGGUGAUGAUAACAAGAGGAAGGCAAUUAUCUCCACUCCUCAUUGUACCUCUCAUCUUGUAAGUUUGUGCUUCCAGCAAUUGCUGAGAAGAAUUUGAAGAAUUGGGCUAGGAGAAUCAAGCAAACUUGACUAGGCAGUACAAGAAAACACAACAAAGCAACAUAUAACCUCUAUUUGUCCUUGCUUUCAUCAGAAUUUGAAUGCAGAUAUUCAGCUUAUGUUGGAGAGCUAUUAAAUUUAUGACUCUAAAGAGGUAUGUUCAUUAUAAGUUGUUGCAUGUCGCCUACUACUGCAUAAGGGGCCAAGAGAAGAAAGAUACUAAAGUUGCUGACGGGUAUCUAUAGAUAUCCAAUAUCUUAGUAAUGCAUCAGCAGCACAAUGAUUCAGUUGUAAGGAUUGUUCUUGCUGGGGUAAUUGUUCGAAUUUAUUAUAAGGUGGUGGAACAAAUUUCUGGCGGUCGCCUAGGACGGGCCGAUGAUGAGCUCCAUCGAGCCAUUGAGCUGCCAUGCUGGAUGCCCCAAGAUCUCUUUUUCCAUCUGCUAGUUUUGGCCAUUGGCGAUCCUAUUUUUGUUGAAAGAGGAGAGUUGCUAGAUCCCGAUUUUACUCAGUUGCUAGAUGCUAGUGGCUAAUGGAUGGAGAGAGGCUAGCAGUCUAUCGAAAAGGGGUCCUCGGCAGUUGCCAAGUUGAGAUUAGGUGAAAGGGCUACAUAUUUUAGCCCCCUUCUUCACUAGAUCAAGAGGAAGAAAUGGUUAUUUGGUUUCGACCUGAAG